GACGAACGCUGGCGGCGUGCCUAAUACAUGCAAGUCGAACGCAGUGGGGACGGGUGAGUAACACGUGGGUCACCUCCCCUCAGAGGGGAUAACACUUGGAAACAGGUGCUAAACCGAUACUGAUGGCAGUACCCGCGGUGAAUUGGCUAGUUGGUGAGGUAACGGCUCACCAAGGCCACGAUGCAUCGCGGACCUGAGAGGGUGAUCGGCCACACUGGGACUGAGACACGGCCCAGACGCCUACGGGAGGCAGCAGUAGGGAAUCUUCGGCAAUGGACGAAAGUCUGACCGAGCAACGCCGCGUGAGUGAAGAAGGUUUUCGGAUCGUAAAACUCUGUUGUUAGAGAAGCGGUAUCUAACCAGAAAGCCACGGCUAACUACGUGCCAGCCGCCGCGGUAAUAC
rnacentral:rRNA from 1 species